rnacentral:rRNA from 1 species
UGAGGAAUAUUGGUCAAUGGGCGAGAGCCUGAACCAGCCAAGUAGCGUGCAGGAUGACGGCCCUAUGGGUUGUAAACUGCUUUUAUAAGGGAAUAAAGUGAGCCUCGUGAGGCUUUUUGCAUGUACCUUAUGAAUAAGGACCGGCUAACUCCGUGCCAGCAGCCGCGGUAAUACGGAGGAUGCAAGCGUUAUCCGGAUUCAUUGGGUUUAAAGGGUGCGUAGGCGGCUUGGUAAGUCAGUGGUGAAAUUCCAGUGCUCAACAUUGGCCGUGCCGUUGAUACUGCUGGGCUUGAAUGCGGAUGCCGUGGGAGGAAUGUGUGGUGUAGCGGUGAAAUGCAUAGAUAUCACACAGAACACCGAUUGCGAAGGCAUCUCACGAAUCCGCAAUUGACGCUGAGGCAC